UCUACAUACCUCAAGGUACCAGGCACCACCAAGCGCGCUGGGGAUCCCCCUGUGCUCCCAUGCCCCACCAUGCUCCAUGCCUCCCUGUGCUCCAUCCGCCCCACCAUCUCAGCAUUCACGAGCUGGUACCUUGAGGUAUGUAGAAAAAACAUUUAAAGCUGUGUCUAUGUCUGAAUUAUUGAAUCCUCCGAAACAAUUUGGAGAGAUUACAGGGUCUUUCAGUUCGAUUUGGAUUUGGAGAUUUGGCCACUGAAUCGGGUCGAAUCUCUGCCAGGUCGAAUCAGCAACCAAAGCUUUGCACAGCCCUAGUUGCAAAGUGUGCACAAUGUUUCAGAGUCCAAGGCUAGAAGGGGCCACCAGAUCCUCAAGGCAAGCCUGUGGGAAUCAUAUAGCCAUGCACAAAUACCCUACAACAAGCCCAACUUCUUUAGAUUACAGCAGUGCAGUCCUCAGGAAGAUAAUUUUUUGUGCCACUCUGGCUACAAAUAGAUGUCACAUUUAUCUCAGGAUAAGUCAUUUUAUCCCAGGAAAAGUGCACUCAUCCACAUAUUCAUGUCCAUUGUUCUGGGAUAAAUCCUAAAAAGGUUCAUGGGAUAAGAAGUACUAGCAGUUUAUCCAGGGACUUUGCAAAGUACAUCUAAACAGUUAUCCUGGGAUUGCAUCACUGAAUCAGUGGCAGAAAAAACAGCAGUUCAUUCAGCCAGUCACUAAACCCUGAUUAGAAGGGCUAUAUGCAUACAUGUCAAUUCCAGGAUAUUUCUGUUCCAAAACAAAUGCAAGCACCACUUGUCCAGGGACAAAUGUAACAUCUGUUCCUAGCCUCUGGGAAGAGCCAGAAUAAAAGUUGUCUGGGCAACAUUCAUGUGUUUCCCUUGUGUUUUUAGCAUAGUGAUUCAGUCUUGCCCAACAUAAUACAGAGAAUUUGUGACCAUUUUUAUUAAAGCUACAAACAAUUGACUCUGGGAAAGAAAACAAAUUAUUUCAGCAUAGUUGCCAACAACUGCUUAUAACAGUACACAUUAGCAAUAGAUGCUUUACAUGUGUGCUCUGGUUCUGGGAAAUAGUGGAAGUGAGAGAAGGGGGUUGGGAGAAUGCUUCAACUUGCAUUAUUGUUAAGACGAUUAGUCUUAAGAGCUGGAAGUAUUCUGACUGUGCAUUAAACAGCAUCACCCCUUCGUGCAUGCCCUGAUUUACAGUGAGACAAAAAUCCAGAUAUAUAAUUUUACAGAGAAGAAAAUGUACUGGAUAUAAAAGUGACCCAAAAAGAGAAACAUGCUUAAAUGAUAACAGACAAUUUGCCAUUGACUUGCAAAUUUUGCCACUGACAACUAGGCUUGUCUUCCCCCAGAGACUCAUGAAGCCAGUGGGAUUGCAGAGCUUCUGCAGGGUAUUCUCACUGUCUUUGAUGAUUACUCUGUAGAUCACCUGGUUGAUUUCUGGAAUAGCACACUGAUCUUGGCCAUAGACACAGUGGGCCCCCGUGUGUCUGCUCUGACCACUGUGGUGGCACAGUUCCCCUGGCAGGCUCUCAACCCAGCCUGAAGCCUAUGGAUUGCAUCAUAGAUCUUUCUUAAAAGACUGCAGUGUGGCAGUGGCAGUAGGGAAGAAGGUUUGACACUGCAGGAUUCAUAAUGGUGAACUGUUCCUUAUGGUGAAUGACCUGGUUAAUCCCAGCUUGUUUCCCCCUUAGAAACUGCCUCUUCAGCCUACCGUGACAAAUUUGACUCCUACUUUACAGGCAAGAUUGCCAAUAUCAAGCACAGCUUGGGAGUCACCACUUUUACUGCAGUCAGAGUUUGGAGUUGAGGAGGCUCUGUCUUGUCCUGUUUAUAUGGAUUGUUUUAAACUGCUAUUACUCACUGGUGCAGAAAAUAGGCUUGGGAAGAUAAGGGCAACCAGUUGUGAGUUGGACCCAUGCUCAUUCUGGUUUGUAAAAGCAAGUUGGAGGAGACUGGGCCACUGCUGACAGGGAUUGUUAGUGCUUCCUGUUGGGAGGGCAGUGUGUCAGACAUGUUUAAGUCUGCAAUAGUCUGGCCCCCAGCUAUUUUUCCCAUCUCCAACCUCUCCUUCCUGGGAAAUGUAAUUGAACAGGUGAUCGGUCACCUGUCAGCUCUAGGAGCAUCUGGUUGCUAUCAGUUUACUGGACACUUGUCGGUCUGACUUUCACCCUGGAUAUAGCACAGAGACUAUACCUCGUAGCCUUAGCCAACAAUCUUUGCUUGGAGACUGACAGGUGAAAUUGUGCCCUGCUAAUCUUACUUGAUCUUUCAGCAGGCUUUAAUUCAAUUGACCAUGAGGUGCUAAUAAAGCCUUUGUAUGACCUGGUGAAUAUUCAUGGAACUGUUUUUUCUGCUCGUUUUUAAUACAGAGUUCCCAGAUGGUGGUGAUCCUCUUGGGGUCCCCCCCAAAAUCCAGUUUGUCACCCCUCCUGUUCUAAUAUGUAUAUGAGGCUGCAGGGUAAGAUUAUGCAGAAGUUUGGAGUGAGAUGCCCUCAAUAUGCUAUUAAAACCCAGAUCCACCUCAGUCUCCAGGGGUGGCUAUGAAGCCCCUAGAGCCCUCACUUUCUGGGCCAAUCACCCACCAUACCUUGAUGUUAUUUUUAUGUGAGGGAGGCUACCCCAGGGCUUUGCUCUCUCAAAGGACCAUCAGGUGCCUGUGGUCAGUACCUUAUGGGCUAAUUGAAUAGCUCCUUUCUUCCCCUACACUAUGCCCCUCAUUGAUAUUCAGCACCUUCUCCCUCUCUGGUCCCACACUCUCAGCCCCUCAGUCUGGGCUCCAGACCCUUCCCUACAUCCCUAGUAACUUCUUCCUCUCCCUAGUUCCUCCCCAAACCUGCAGACUGCUUCAAGUAUUACCCUCCAUGUAGAUCUUCUGGAGCUGCAAUCAUCCUGCUGAGGUAGCAAUCUCUCAGCAGGCUCCAAGCUGUUACUUCUGGCUCAUCUCAGGACCUGGGCUUAUAUCCUCCCUAAGACCAACCCUCCUUCUUGGUCAGAUGACUGCAAUCUGCCCAGGCCACACCUGCAGGCCAUUUAAAGUGGCAGGAGCACUAAGCUUCUUGCCACAGGACCAUCACCUCCAUCUAGUGAGAAGGCUGUAAUCCUUUCUUUCAGAUCUGGUCAUCAUCAGUUUUACCUUUGUAACCUCAAAGCUAGACUACAUCAGUGCAGUUUAUGUAGGGCUAUUCUUGAAAACUGUCCAGAAGAUGCAGCUGGUUCAAAAUGCAGCAGCCCACUGUCUGGCAGGUCAGGUCACCAGGAGCAUGUAACUCCAACACUCCAGAGUCUGCACUAGCUCCCAGUAACUUUUGGGGAGUGAUUCAAGGUACUGGUUUUGAUGUAUAUGGCCCUAAAUGGUCUCACUCUAUGUACCUAAGGGACUGUCUUCUCCCAUAUGCCCUAUUGCAAUCCCUAAGGUCAGCCGAAAUCAGGCUCCUGUAAUUACCAUCAAUAUUCCAAAUUCACUUGCCCAAAAAAAAUGUAAGAAGUCAUUCUCAGCAGUUUUUCCUCAGCUCUGGAAUUCCCUCUUGAUGCCUGCCAGAGCCUGGAUGUUUUUCAGAAACUCUAAGACCUUCCUUUUUUAGACAGGCAUUUGGCAAACAAAGCUAGGGUGAAAUAUUGUUUGGGGGUGGGUGGGUUUUGUUUUAUGUUGAUGCUCUAGUUCCCCUUUGAAGUUGCUUUGGUUCCUUGUUCAUUCUCCUGUUUUAUAAGUUAUUGUCUCCUCUUUUGUGAGCUCCCUAGAGCCUUUGUUGGGAAGGGUAGCAUAUAAAUAAAGUCAAAUUUACCAAACUAGAGUUUCACCCAAGAUGCCUAACAGCCGAAGAUUUUCAUUUUCUUCCUUAUUCCACUGGACUUUAUUCAGAUUUCCACUUUGCUUUCAAGCUCUUCAACUCUCCUUCAAGAAUUACCUUUUAAUGAAAAUAUGAGUAUUUCAGAAAUUAACAGCCAAAUGGCUGCCCAUUCUGUGUAUCUUUGAAAACAUGGGAAACUUGCACAGCAGUAGGGAACACUGAUGAUAGCACCGUUGAACAAAAUCAUCAUUUUGCACUGAACACACAAGUGAGCACUUAAACAACACAGCCACACCUCUGUCAGCAUGCAUUAAAAAAGAACAGGGUCUGUCAUUCCUUUUUUGUGGGCUGAAUGUGUGCCACCUAGUGAAAUUCAUCAUAGGAUUGUGGCACAAUAUAGUGAGAACCAUAUGGUUCAUUGAGAAAUCUAUGAGUGGGUGGAGAAUUUCCAAAGUGGCUGCACAUGUGUAGUGAAUGAACCCUGAGCAGGAUGACCCAACAGCUACAGUGGAGGACAACGUGACCAAGGCUAAUGCUGCUGUACUUGUAAAGAGUUGAGCGAGCAUUCUUUGUGACAGAAGUAGGUGUAAAUGCUGGCAGUAUAAGUAGGUGUAAAUGCUGGCAAUAUCUACACCAUUUUGUAUGAUCACCUGAAUUACUAGAAAUUGUGUCUGUUGGAUGCCAAAGCAACUAACAGAUGUGCAUACAUGACAAUGUGUGGAAGUGUGUACCUAGUUUCUGUAAUGUGUAUGGGAUGAAUAUGAGAGAGGCUUCUCUCAUGCAUUGUCACUGGGGACAAGACAUAGGUCCAUCAUUAAAAGCCAGAGAGCAAAAGGCCUCAAUGGAAGCAUACAUUGUUGCCACCACCCAAAAAAUUCCACACUCCACUAUCCUCUGACAAGGUCUUGCUCAUUCUGUUUUGAGAUUGCAAGGGACUAGUCCUUGUCUACUUCAUGGGCUAUGGGGUCACAAUCAACAGCUACUAAGGUGUGGACAGAAGUGACAAUCUUCACCCAAUGUGGCCCCUUAAAGCACUUUAGAGCCAUGGCCUAACACAAGUGCACGACUGCAGAGCACUUUAAAGGGGCCUGAUCUCAUGACAGUCUGAACCCUCGUUACACGAAGGUUCAGAUGAAGGUGCUCUAAAGCAGAGUGCCUUCAUUAACUUGUGUCUGUGUGUGCCAGAAGGAGGGCUGGGCUGACACAGCUCAGCCCUGCUCCUGGUGCUGUUUUCAGAAUGGGAGGGGUGGAAAGGAACCAAGGGAUCUUGUUCUGGGGGUUGCCCAGCUGAUGCUAAAGGGUGAGGUGGGUGGAUUGGAAUCCCCCUGAGGUGGGGGGGGCUCUACUGCACUCCUCCCCCCGCCCCCCCCACAACUCCAGCAUAGGUGGGGAAACCCCAGAAUGGAUUUCCAUCCCCUGCCUUCUCCCCCUCAUCCUGAGGGGCCUGGGAGAGGGGUGGGGAGCUUGGGGAAGACGCUGGAGAGAUGCAGCCUCUAUCCCUGGAUCGACUCCAAAUUGGCUAACGUCUGUUGGGUUUGGAGGAUCAGUCUAAUUCAUGGCUUUCUGUGAAGCACCGUAAGUUAGACUGGAGAGCUAUCUGUACCUCUUCUACCACAUUCUCCAAAGCUACCUGCAGCUAGUUGUUCAGACCAAAUGGUAUGGAAAGCUCAAGCAAGGUCUUCUCUAUCAUGACAAGGCAAGUGUAAUGGGGUUUGGCCCCGUUACUGCUGGAAGGAGUGCAUCUGAGCUGCCUCCAAUCUGGGACGGUUGCCCCCCACCCCUGCUCCAGCACGGAUGCAGCAGCAGUGCAGCUAUGGUAACUGGCCAGAGGCAGGCUCAGCCGGUGCAACCUGAACAAUUAGCUCCAGCUGGGGGCCAUUAGAAACCCAGCAAUCUGGGUCAGGCAGAAGGGCCUGUCCUUGGAAGAGAGGGGAAAUAAGAGCAUCCCAGGGCAAUUGCUGAGGGGUUCUCUUGGGGAUGGGGGGCCAGCAGGGCUUAGAGGGGUGUACUCAUACUGGCAACGUGAGCCCCAGAUAGUGUCCGUCUCACCUGGCCAAGGCCCAGGGUUAGCCUGUGCUCGAUUGAAGCCAGCUGAGGUACCUGGACUGCAGCAUGAAGCAACAACUGUGGCAACCCUCCCCCAGAGGAUCAGCACAAGAUAAGCACAGUGUCGCGGGGCACCUUGCUGCCCCACUCCUAGAGAGGGCAAAACUGCUGGGGAAAAGCCCUAGCAGGGAUAAUGAGCGCAGCUAUGAGUUGCCAGGGCAACUCCAGAUAGAUUGACUCACACCUGACAGCAGUCAGCUGGUAAUGUAGGGCAGGGCCUGGCUCCUAUAAAGCCUAGAACCAAGGCCAGGCUGGUGGUUCCCUGUUAGCGAGGCAGGAGCUUUUGGAGCUAGGAUGCAAGCACGUCAGGAACUGCUCUAGCUGAGUGAAGGAGGGCAGCUCGAAGAAGUUGAUCACCAUGGUUUAGCCAGGCAGCUUUGAGUUAAGUUGUGGCCAAGAGGCUUGUGUUUGUUUUGUGGCGGUCUAUUACACCGGUGGCUAGGGUGAGGCUAUAAGGGGUUGGAGGAGGCCUCAUAGGGACCCCCAGAGGGGUGGGGCCCCAGCGCCUGAGGAGGGUGCAGCGUACUCAUAGGGACCCACAGGGUGUGGGGCCCUAGCGCCUGGGAAGGCACAGUAUUCUCAGGGGCAACCCCAGCGGUGAGAGGACCCCGGUGCCAGUAAGGGCGUAACUUACUUAAAGGGGCCUCACAGCGGAGUGGGAGGACCCCGGUGCCCAGCGUGGGCACAGCAAGCCCCAGAGAGGGGGCGAUAGUAUCAGGAAGCCCGGCACGGGCAUGUAAGGUCCCAGAGAAGGGGGACCAUUGAGAAGCCUGAGACGGGCAUAGCGAGCCUGGUUGUAGGCUAGUACGGCAAUAGCCCUCAGAUAGGGGCAGGGUGCUGCGGUGGACCCCGACGGAAGGGGUUAGUAGUACAACACCCCAGGAGAAAGGCAAGGUGCUGUGGUGGUCCCUGGCAAAAGGGGAUAGCAGCGCGGUGAGCCUGGACCAGAGAGGGUAGCUGUGCGGUAGGCCUGAGAGACCAGAGGCUCGACAUAGAGUCCCAAAGCGGGCAAGGGUCCCUGAGCGGGACAGCACUUUUAGAGGAAGCCCAGAAAGGGCACCGAGACCCCAGAGAGGGGGCCCAAUUGAGAAGGCCCAGUGCGGGCGUGACGAACCCCAGGAAGGGGGGCAGCAUUUUGGGAAGCCCAAGGUGGGCACGGCGAGCCCCGAAGAGGGGAGCACCCUAUGUAGAGAAGAACCCGGAGAAGGGGGCAGCACUAGAGAAGGCCUAGGAGAGCGGGCAUGUAUUAUGACAGACCAGUGUCCAGUACAUCUGCGAGGCUUGGGGCAUGGUAUUAGGGGUUGGUAGGAGCCACGCAUAGCCCAUAAGGCUAGGGUGCCUGAGUAGCACCCAUUGUACGGGGAGACCACAAGAGUCCGGAAAAACGGCAGGGACAGAGGUCCCGAUAUGCCGUGCCCAAGGCGGUAUAAGGUAGCCUCCCAACAUAUACUGAACAUCAAAGACGUGGUGGGCGAGAAGAAGAGGGUGCCCUUGGGCCGGCCUUGACACGGUGAGAGGGACCUUAAGGAGAUCAUGGCUCUCCUGCAGGACCUCGCCAUGACACACAGCUUUUUUUCAUUUCUUGUUUUUGGGGUGGGUUUUUUUUGUUCUUCAUUAUAGACCCACGGCAAGGGCCCAGGGGCUGGAAAGAAUGCUGUAGGCUGAGGGGUGAGCCUCAGGCUGGCUGCACAGGGAGGCCAGGGUCCUGGCCAGUGGAGCCAUGGCCAACCCACUGCAGCAAUAGUAAAAGGGGGCAGGAAGUGGCAGUACCCCCAACCCAACAUGCCCAGCAAACCACUUUUAGAGUCACAGUCACCUGCCCUACCCACAAGUGGUGUCAGGAAUGGGACUUGAACCCACAACUCCACAGGAGAUUGCAAGUUAAGGAAGCUAUCCUCCAGCCCUGAAGCAGAAGAUUUUUUGGCAGCUGGAUGGAACAAGUCCUGGAGCAGGGAGCUACGUACCUAGGACCUAGGAAGCUACCUAGACGACGGUCACUUCACGCUUCAAGAAAUGUAGGACCAGGAUUACUCCUCCGCUGGCCCUGCACAACAGUUGCAGGCCAUGGUCUGAGGAGGGAAGGCUGCAUUGAGGAAAUCAACCAAUGACUCCGGUGUCACUGAGAGGGCUUUGGCUUCCUCAACCACAGCUCACACUUCAGGGACAGAAGAGUCCUGGGAAGGGACGGCAUCCAUCUCAUGCAGAGAGACCACCAAAUCAAGGGGAGGAACUUGAUCUGGAGUUCACCCGAGAACUGAGAGAGGCCGCCCGAGCAUGUGACAUGCUCAUCAUGGGUGACUUCAAUUAUCCAGACAUCUCUUGGAAGGAACAUUCAGCCAAGUUGACUGAUCAAGUUCCUUCCUGACCUGCAUUGAAGAGCUCUUCCUGGCUCAGGAGGUGCAUGGACCAACCAGAGGUAACACUCCCCUAGACCUGGUCCUGGCCAAAGGAGACUACCUGGUGACUGACUUAGAAAUAGAGGGUAGCCUGGGCAACAGUGACCAUGAAACCAUUACGUUCACAGUCCAUCGUAAGGCAGACAAAUCUGAUAGCAGAGUUGAAGUCUUGGACUUCAAAAAUGCAAACUUCAACAAGCUCAGGUCACUAGUAGGGCAAGUGCUGCGGGACCAGGGACCGAAGGCAAAAGAUGUGCUUGGAGAGUGGUCGCUUCUUAAGGACGCAAUCCUUGAACCACAAAGGAAGUCUAUUCCCACAUGGAAAAAGGGCAGCAAAGGGGCUGAGAAGCCCUCCUGGCUAAACGGGGAAAGGACGGUGUUCCUUACAAAGAAGAAAGAGGCAUACAAAGAAUAGAAGCUGGGGACAGGCCCCAAGGAAGACUAUACAACAACGCUUCACACUUGUAGGGAACAAAUUAGAAAGGCCAAGGCAGCGACUGAACUUAGAUUGGCAACCUUCUUUAGGUAUGUAGGGAACAAGAGAAAGCAAAUGGGAGUGUGGGGCCACACUGCUCAACAACUCAGGACAGCUGGUUACCAACACUCAGGAGAAAACAGAAUUCCUGAAUGACUACUUUGCCUCGGUAUUUCACCGGGCCACAGGGAAAAUUAUGGCACAUAGGGUACAGAAUGAGCAGGGCAGAAAUGACUGUCUCCCUACUAUUGCCGUAGAACUGGUGUGUGAUCAAUUAAAGAAAUAAGACAUAUGUAAGUCAGCAGGACCAAAUGAACUCAAUCAGAGGGUGCUGAAGGAGCUGGCUGAUGUCAUCACAGAGCCCCUGGCAAAACUGUUCCAAAACUUGUGGCACUCUGGAGUGGUCCCUGAGGACUGGAAGAGGGUAAAUGUCAUGCCCAUCAUCAAGAAGGGGACAAGGGAGGACCCAGGUAACUGUAGGCCAAUUAGCCUAACUUCUAUCCCAGGGAAAAUCCCAGAAAAAUUAAUUAAGGACUCUGUGUGCCAUAGGCUUGCAGAAGGUAGGAUUCUGAACUGCAGCCAGCCUGGCCUUGUCACAGGCAGGUCUUGUUUUACCAAUCUCAUCUCCUUUUACGAUCUGGUAACUUGCCACUUGGAUAAGGGAGAAGUGGUGGGUGUUGUAUACCUUGACUUCCUAAAAGCCUUUGAUCUGGUAUACUAUGAUGUUCUCACAAGAAAAUUGGAAGAUAGUGGGCUUAACUGCAAGAUGGUUAUGUGGGUAUGAAGCUGGCUGUGGGGUAAGACUCAGAGUCCUAAUGAACGGAUCUGUGUCAUCUUGGUAAGAAGUGGGCAGCAGUGCUUGGUCGGUGCUUGGUCCUGUACUUUUCAAUAUCUUCAUCAAUGAUUUGGAUGCAGGGGUGAAGAGCUCACUGGCCAAGUUCGCAGAUGACACCAAGUUAUGGGGAAGAGUGGUCAUGCUUGAAGAUAGUCUGCAGAUACAGGCAGACCUAGACAAGCUAGCAAGUUGGGUGAGUCAGAACCAGAUGAAGUUCAAUGUUGAGAAAUGUAAAGUGCUCCACGUGGGGAUAAACAAUCCCCUGCACACCUACAGGCUUGGCAACACCAACCUGACCAGCACUACAAAUGGUAGAGACCUGGGGGUAGUAAUAGACUGCAGCAUAAAUACGAGCUAGCAGGGCGACUCUGUUGCCAGCAGAACAAAUAAUACUCUGGCAUGCAUCAAUCGAUGCAUCUCCAGCAAGACCAAGGAGGUGAUUCUUCCUCUCUGCUCAGCUCUGGUGAGACCCCAACUGGAGUACUGCAUUAAGGUGGCCAAGGGCCUCAAGGCCCGCUGCACCAAGGUCCCUGCCCCACUGGGGCUUUGCAGCAGGUACAAACCUCUUGCAGCCCCAGCAGAGCCCGCUGAGUUGCCAGCUUCCACAGGCAACACAGGCGCUACUGUAUCUACCGCCCCUGCUCUCCCCAAGACAAAACGCAAAGUGUAUGACGUGGGAGACUCCAUCCUGAGGGGGAGUGAGGGGGUAAUCUGCUGCCCUGACUCCUUAGCCUGGGAAGUUUGCUGCUUCCCGGGAGCCAGAAUCCGAGACAUUGUGGAGAAGAUCCCUAAGCUCCUUCAGCCCACUGACCAUUACCCUAUGCUUCUUAUCCAUGUGGGCACCAAUGACACAGCUCGGAGCACUCCCAGCCGGGUCAUGAACCGCUACAGGGAUUUGGGAGCGGAACUAAAGGAUCUGAGGGCAUAGGUGGCGUUUUCUUUGAUCCUCCCAGUCUUGGGCUAUGGACUGAGGAGGGAGAGGAGGAUCCAGGUAGUGAACCAAAGACUGUGGCACUGGUGUCAUCGGGAAGGCUUUGACUUUCAUGACCACUGUCUGCUCUUUGGCGAGAGAGGCAGUGAGCUGCUGGGAAGGGACAACCUACACCUCUUUCCACUGGGGAGGAGGCUCUUCUCAACCAGACUGGCUGACCUGCUCCACUGGGCUUUAAACUAAGCCCGCCGGGGGAUGAGGGGACUACUGCCACUGUUGGCCCGCUGAGCAACCCUUGCAAAGCCAGCAGGCCAAGGCACUUAAGGGAACCCACCCCUGCCCCAGCCCUGGAAUGAACUGUAGGCAAGGCAAGGACCCCCAAGGGGACACUUGCAUGCCUAUACACAAAUGUCAGGAGCCUGGGGAAUAAACAGGAGGAACUUGUCUUCCUGUUAAAUGCAAAUAACUAUGAUGUCAUAGGGAUAACAGAGACCUGGUGGGACUCCACCUAUGACUGGACCACAGGUAUAGACUCCUAUACUCUAUACAGGAGAGAUCGAGUGGACAAAAGGGGUGGGGGUGUAGCUCUCUAUGUCAAGGAAAGCUACGUGUCCCCAACGUUGGCACCCACAGUGGAAGACUUGAGACCCUCUGGGUUAAAAUCCAUGGAGAACAUGGCACAGGGGAUACUAUGGUGGGAGUCUACUCCAGACCCCCUACCUAGGGUCAAGACCUUGACCAGGAGUUUGCCAGGGAAUUGGCUGAGGCCGCACGCUCCUGGUGUAUGGUUGUAAUGGGAGACUUUAACUACCCAGACAUCUUGUGGGAGGAGUGCUCAGCCAAAUCCAAGCGGUCGCAAAGCUUUCUCUCAUGUGUGGAUGACUUCUAUCUGAUGCAGGAAGUCUGUGGGCUGACAAGAGGUAAAGUACUGCUUGACCUGGUACUGGCAACCGGGGACAACCUAAUCAGCGACCUAACAAUCUAAGGGAAGCUGGGUGACAGUGACCACGAGCUGAUCACCUUCACCUAUCGCCUGAACAAGGGGGAAGAGAUUGAUGUCCUAUAUCUUAACUUUUUAAAAAAGCCUUAAUCUGGUAUCCCAUAAUCACCUCUUGGCAAAACUGGCUAACUGUGGCCUCGAUCUCACCACGGUCCGCUGGCUGGGGAAUUGGCUCCGCGGUAGGACCCAGUGGGUGGUGGUUCACGGAAGCCAAUCAUCUUGGUGCGCGGUCACCAGUGGGGUCCCUCAAGGCUCUGUCCUAAGGCCUCUACUGUUUAACAUCUUCAUCAGUGAUGUAGACAUUGGUAUCAGAAGCGGACUGGCCAAGUUUGCCGACAACACCAAACUCUGGGGUAAAGCAUCCACACCUGAGGACAGGAGGGCAAUCCAGGCAGAUCUUGACAGGCUCAUGAAAUGGGCAGAUUGAGAACCUGUUGGUGUUCAACACUGAAAAAUGCAAAGUUCUCCACCUUGGGAGGAAAAACCUGCAGCAUGCUUAUAGGCUCAGCAGUGAUAUGCUGGUUAGUACUACAGAUGAAAGGGAUUUGGGGGUCAUAGUUGGUAGGGUCGGAAGAGACCUGAGCAGAUCAUCAAGUCCGACCCCCUGCCAUGGCAGGAAAAAGUACUGGGGUCAAAUGACCCCAGCAAGGUGUUUGUCUAACCCCCUCUUAAAGACCCCCAGGGUAGGAGCCAGCACCACUUCUCUUGGAAGUUGGUUCCAGGUCCUAGCUGCCCUGACUGAAGUAGCGCAUCCUGAUGUCUAGUCUGAAUCUACCCUCUGCCAGCUUGUGACCGUUAUUUCUAGUCACUCCUGGUAGUGCUUGAGGGAACAGGGACUCCCCCAAUGCCUGCUGGUCCCCUCUGACUAGUUUGUAACAGGCCACUAGAUCCCCCUUCAGCCUUCUCUUGUGGAGGCUGAACAGGUUCAGUCCCUUAGCCUCUCCUCAUAGGGCCUGCCCUGCUGCCCCCUGAUCAUGCGGGUGGCCCUCCUCCGAACCCUCUCAAUGCUGUCCACAUCCCUCCUGAAGUGCGGCGCCCAGAACUGGAUGCAGUACUCCAACUGCGGCCUGACCAGUGCCGUGUAGAGGGGAAGGAUCACCUCCCUGAACCUGCUUGAGAUUCAUCUGUGGAUGCAUGACAAGGUGUGGUUGGCCUUCCUGACUGCAUCCCCACACUGUCAGCCCAUGUUCAUUUUGGCAUCAAUAAUGAUUCCAAGAUCCUUUUCUACCUCUGCACUGUGGUCAUGAUUGACCACAAGAUGAACAUGAGCCUUCAAUGUGAUGCUGCAGCUAGUAAAGCGAGCAAAACGCUCGCUUGCAUUCAUAGGUGCUUCUCAAGCAAAUCCUGGGAUGUCAUUCUCCCAUUGUACUUGGCCUUGGUGAGGCUGCAGCUGGAGUACUGCAUCCAGUUUUGGGCUCCACAAUUCAAAAAGGAUGUGGAGAAGCUAGAGAGAGUGCAGAUGAGAGCCAUGCACAUGAUCAGAGGUCAGGAAAACAGACCUUAUGAUGAGAGGCUGAGAGCUAUGGGACUCUUCAGCCUGGAAAAACGCAGGCUCAGGGGUGAUCUGGUGGCCACCUAUAAGUUUAUCAGGGGUGCUCAUCAGGAUCUGGGGGAACAUCUGUUCAUCAGAGCGCCCCAAAGGAUGACAAGAUCGAAUGGUCACAAACUCUGCCAUGACCAAUUCAAGCUGGACCUAAGAAGAACUUCUUCACUGUCCGAGCCCCCAAGGUUUGGAAUAGACGGUCAGCGGAGGCGGUUCAAGCACCCACUUUGAACGCCUUCAAGAGACAUUUGGAUGCUUAUCUUGCUGGGAUCCUAUGAUCCCUGCUGACUUCCUGCCCCUGGGGCAGGGGGCUGGACUCGAUGAUCUUCUGGGGUCCCUUCCAGCCCAAAUGUCUAUGAAAUCCUGUUCUGGGUGCCGCAGUUUAACAAGGAUGUGGUAAAGCUUGAGAGAGUCCAGAGAAGGGCUACCUGUAUGAUUAGCGACUUGCACGGCAAGCCAUAUGAGGAAAGGCUGAGGGACCUGGGACUCUUCAGCCUGAAAAAGAAAAGGCUGAGAGGGGACUUGGUAGCAAUUUACCACUACGUCAGGGGAGUACAUCAGGGGUUUAGCGAACAACUGUUCACCAGGGCGCCCUUGAGGAGAACCAGGAGUAAUGACCACAGACUCCUGGAAGACCAUUUCAGGCUCAACAUUAGGAAAAAAUUCUUCACAGUUAGGGUGUCCAGACUGUGGAAUAAGCUCCCUCCAGAGGUGGUGCAAUUGUCUACCCUGGAAAUCUUCAAGAGGAGACUGGAUAGUCAUCUUGCUGGGGUCAUCUGACCCCACUUGUCUUUCUUGCCUGGUGCAGGGGGCUGGACCUAAUGAUCUUCCGAGGUCCCUUCCAGCCUUACAAUCUGUAAAUCUAUGAUUUCAGGGUUCCCUUCCCUCGAGGUAAGGCAGUGCCCCAACUGCUCCUGCUGGGGUCAGGCGGGCUCUGCUUCAAUGCAGAUGGCCUUGGCACUACCCCUGUAAUUGCCACCAAGGAAGAGCAGGAGGAGUCUGGGAAGCAAGGUGGGGAAAGGAACCAUCCCACAGAUGGGAGCAUGCCCCCAUAGAAGAAAUCGAGUGUGGCUUUUGUGAUAGGCCACAAUCAGGGAAAACUGGAUGCAGCAUGGAGGGAUCCCACAUUAUCAUUGAAGCCUGGCUUGUGGGCCAGCAAGUAACUGCCUUAGUUGAUGCUGGCUGUAUGUGGAUGGUGGUGUUAUAGGAUUUGGUGCGGGAAGCAGAUCACUGGAACGUUGAACAUUUGAAGCUGGUCUGCCUCCAUGACAAGCCCUAGACCUAUGAGUGAACCUGGGUGCAACUGAUGGUUGAGGGGUACCCAAGGGUUGGCUUGCCUGGAGGAACAUUUGGCUUACCCAUUGUUGCUGGGUCAGGAUUGGCCCUCCCUGAGGGAGUUGCUGGAUACCCUUGCGCAGCAAAAAACACCUUGGCCAGGGACCAAGGCAGAAGGGCUCCUGGGUGAACCUCUGCCAGGCAUGAGCUCUGGUGGACCAGACUGUGGGAUGGAGGCCAACGUGAACUGGCAGCAGGACCUAAAGAUGGGGCAAUUCGCAGUACAGCAAUCCUGGGAAGACAGCUUCCAAUGGGUUUAUGAAGGAGGCAUCACCUAGGUAGAAGAGGAGGUGGUGUGGCCUGAUCUGAUUCAUCUGGUGGAAUGAAGUUAUCCAUGUCAAAACGGUACCAGAGGGUCCUGUUAAGGGUUACCCCUGAGCUCCCCAUAGGAGGUCACUUAGGGGAGGAUAAAACCCAAGAGCGCCUCUUAGAUAGGUUCUUUUAGCCAGGGAUCCAGCAGGAGGAAGGGCACUUUUGCUGAUCCUGCCCUGGGUGCCAGUUGGGACACCCAGGAUGCCUGCUGAGUGCCUCAUUGGUUGCCAUGCCACUCAUGGAGAAGCCUUUCGAGCAAGUGGCAAUAGAUAUUGUGGGGCCAUUGCCCCAAUGUUGUGCUGGGUUUCAUUAUAUUUUGGUCCUGGUGGACUAUGCCCCCCAGUAUCCAGAGGCAGUACCCAUGAGAACAGUGAGUGUGGGGAAGGCGGCAGAAGAACUGCUGAAAAUCUUCACCUACGUGGGAUUGCCCAGAGAGAGAUUGAUAGAUCAAGGUAGCAAUUUUAUGACCCGGAUAUUCAAGGAAAUCUGUGCGAUGUUGAAAAUUUGGCACCUCCAAAUAUCUGUAUACCACCCACAACUGGAUGGUCUGGAUGAGUGGUUCAACUAGAUCCUCAAAAGCAUGAUGAAGAAAGCAUACUGAAGAAAGUAGCCAGACAAGAUGUAGAGCAGUGGGACAAACUACUGGUGCUGUUAAUGUUUGCCUACUGUAAACCACCCCAAAAUGCUACUAGGUUCUCAUCAUUUGAGUUGUUAUAUGGCCACCACCUCCAUGGGAUUUUAGAUUUAAUCAGGGAAGGCUGAGAACAACAGAGGGAGUCAGCACAGAUCCCCAUUGCCUACGUGCUCGAGAUGAGGGAGAGGCUACGUGCUGUGAGAGCACUGGCACAAGAGAACCUGCAGGUAUCCCAGGGUAGGCAAGCUGCCAUAUACAACCAGCCAGCUCAUGAGAGGCAGUUCAGUAAGGGGCAUUUGGGUGCUUGUGUUGCUCUCUGAUGACACUUCUACGUUUAUGGCCAGGUGGCAGGGGCCGUAUGAUGCGAUAUGGCAGAUGGGCCUGGUGGACUAGAAGUGUGGCAACCAGGGAGGUGUAAAGCCGAGCAGAUCUACCAUGUCAACCCCUUUAAAAAAUGGGUGGACAGGGGGUUCAUUGCAGGUGCCCCAGAGUCAGUUGAGUUUGGUCCAGAGGUGCAAAGACAGGACAUGGGUGGGCCCAUCCAGAUGGGGAUGAGGCUGAUGCUGGUGCAGCGGCAACAAGUGACUCAGUUGCUGGUUCAGGGGUGUGUACUUGGUAGUCGUGUUGGUCUGAGACAAAAAGACAUACAAAAAAACUAGAACUCUUGGUUCCAAAAUUAUACAUUUUAUUAGACCAACUGGAAAAUGGCAAGAAAAUGGUCCUUUUCUGCAAGCUUUUGGGAAUCAAAGUCCCUUCAUCAGGCUCUUGGAAAAGUGAGGAUGGUACAAGAUGGUAAAAAGUCCCCAUAGGUUGGAAAUAAACUUCAUUUUUGCACAGAGGGAGCUGAAGAUGGAAGUCUGUCCCUCUGGGUCCAUGAGAGUGUCUUUGUGAGCUGUGUUGAGUAGCUCUUUGAUGUGUUGAUCAGGUAGAAUUCCUUCCCUGAAGGUGUCAGAUGGUAGGUAGGGAGGCACAAAAAAAAACUUCAGUUGGUGGUGUGAUUUGGGACAGUAUUCUUGGAUCAUCCAGUAAAAAUGUAGUGGGUGCACCAAAUAGAGACCCCUCAUGGGAAGAUUGUACAGGAGGAAUAGCAACGAAUACCCCAGAAGUUUCAAGAGGUUGUGCACAAGGAAAGCACCCAGGUGCUGAUGGAUGGAGCAGUAUGGGAAUCUAGAAGCACUUGGUGAAACCCCACUGUCAUGGUCUCAAAGAAGGAUGAGAGCAUGCAAUUUUGCAUUGAUUUUAGAAAAGUCAACAGCAUGGCUUGCUUUGACACUUUCCUUAUAACCCAGGUGGAGGACCUGCUGGAACAAAUGGGGGGCCCUGGUUUAUCUCCACCAUUGGCAUGGCCAAGGGGUAUUGGCAAAUACCUCUGGAAGCGAGCUCCCACAAAGACUGCUUUUGCCAUCCUAUGGGGUCUGUAGAAAUGUGUCCAGAUGCUGGUCAGCCUGCAUGGGGCAGCAGCAGUGGUCCAGUGCCUGAUGGAUAAAGUGCUGAAGCCGCAUCGGGGGUAUGCUGCUGCACAUAUUGAUGACAUGGUAAUAUACUUGGGGACCUGGGAAAAACAUCUAUAGCAACUGAGGAUGGUGCUGAAAGAAUUGCAAGCCACAGGCCUAACCACCAACUGAAAGAAAUGCAUGUUGGGACAAGAGGACACCCAGUAUCUAGGCUUCCAAAUACGGGUAAGGAAAAUACAACCGAUAUUAGACAAGGUGAAAGCCCUCCAGAACUAUAGCCUGCCAUGAACAAAGAGACAGAUGUGGUCCUUCCUAGGGUUAACUAACUAUUACCACCUCCUGGUACUCUGGUUUUUGGACAUAAAGUCCCUCUUGUCACAGCUGAUUAGAGGUUCAGCACAAACCUAGAUAGGCUAGACAGUGGAAACCAAAAGAGCCUCCAACAAGUCAAGAAAGUACUGUGUAUGCAGCCCAGUGUGUACACCCCCGAUUUUUCAAAACCUUUUCUGGUGCAAACUGAUGCAUCUAAUAUAGCCCUACGGACAGUGCUUUCUCAGCCAGGGGAAGAUGAGAAACAUACAUUAGCAGAAAGCUGCAACUGCAGGAGCAGGGGUACACCAUAAUAGAAAAGGAAUAUUUGGCCCUAAAAUGGGUCAUCAAUAACUUCCAUUAUUAUUUGACUGGGCAGAAGUUUACAGUUAUAACAGAUCAUGCUCCACUUCAAUGGCUUAAAAAGGCCAAGUUAGAUAACCCCCCCAUUGUUACAGUGGAGUUUGGGGCUACAGGGUUUUGAUUUUUCUAUAGACUAUCACCCUGGAUGACAGCACCACAAUGCAAAUUCUUCUCCUGUAAGGGCAAAGAAGAAAAGCCACUGGCUUUGUGGACAGAUCCACGGCCUGGGCCCAGGGGCUAGAAAGAAUCCUGUAGCCUGAGGGGUGAGCCUCAGGCCAGCUGCAUGGGGAGGUUGUGUCCUGGUCAGUGGAUCCAUGGGCAACCCACUGCAGCUACAGUAAAAGGGGGCAGGGAGUGACAGUACCUCCAAUCCAGCAUACCCAGCAACACCCCUCCAGAGUUGCGACCACCUGCCCCACCUGCAGCAAGGCUGCACAGUGUAUGGGUGACUGUCAAAACUGCAUGCACUGGGUGUUGAAAUCUUACCAUGUUCACUUUACAGUCCUGAUCUUGUGCCAAGUGAUUAUCACCUGUUUAGACUGUUAAAGGAGUCUCUUUGUAGACAGACUUGUCAGUGAUGCAGAUGUGGAACUUGUGGUGCAGGAGUGGCUGUCACAGCAGCCAAAGGGUUUUUUUGAGUAUGGUAGCAAGAAACUUGUGAUUUGCUGGAAUACCUGUGUUGCAAAGCAGGGAGACUAAGUAGAAAAGUGAUGUGAUCCAGGAAGUGAUCUUGUACACAAAGUGGUUUUAUUUUGAAACUAGCUAAUUGCCCGUCAAGAAUGAUGGAUUUCAGGGAGUGUUUACAUGGCCCCCCCUCAUGCCCUGCUCACCCUUCAGGGCCAGCCAUGUAAAGACCGUCCUCUACUGCUGCUGCCUCCUCCAGCCUUUGGCACAGGGGCUCUCUCCCACUGCUCUCCUCCACCUCGCACAGAAAGACUAAGCCCUUUAUUGUAUUAGAAUUGCCAUAAGCUUCUGAAACACCCUUGUAUAUGAAACGUAAGUGCUCAAGCCUUACACAUUCAAACUACUUGAAAUUUUAAAAAUAAAUAAAUAAUAAUAAAUAAAAAAAAUAAAAAAAAUCAGGAUUUCUAAAAAUGAAAACCCCAUGCAUUUUAUAUUAAAAUUCCCAGAUUAGGUGGGGGAACACAUGCAGUCUGAUUUUAGGUGAAGAAAUGACAAACCAAUAAUUCUGUAGAUAUACAUGCAUGCUUAACUUUUGGCACCCAAGUAGGUACACUGGCUUUAUAUCUGCAUGGAAUUCUUCGAUUUGUUCACUACAAAUACAGCAAAGAGGACAGUUUGUAAGUAGUUUGCUGGGAACAAGAAGAGAAAGGGGAAGAGGAACCAGGCACCAGAUCCUGCUCUGGGAAGGUAACUGAUCCGGGGUUGCCUGUGUGCUUGGCUUGCUGAGGGCUUUUUGGUGGGUUAUGUGCUCGGUUGUGUGCUCUGAGUAGCUGAGUGAACUGAUUGCUGAUUGAUAUUGCCUGGGUAUGAUGAAGUCCAGGCCCAAGAGAGUUAGAUAAGAAGGCAGUCCAAGCAACCAGGGAAGCAGUGAACAUGGAGAGGUAAAUAGGACAGUUUGCAACAGUUCACUGGUCAGUUUGCUGCUCCUCUCUUUGAAGGAGAGCCUGAAAGGUAAGAUUAUUUUCUUUUAUAUGUUAUCAGGACUAACUACAUUGUUUUAUUUUAGCAGCUAUAACUCAGCAGCUAGAUGAAGACUUAAGCCCCUUUCUAACUAGUGUCCAGAGUAAGCAGGAGUUUGCUUGGAAACUCUCUCACACUCCUUCACUGGAAGCUUGCUGGGAGGAAAGAGGUUGCAGGGAAAAGGGACCCCUUCAGAUCAAGGAACAGCAAACAGGCCAGUUACAGAGGAGUUUGCUAGGGAAGGUCUGCUUGGUAAAAGAGGCUUGAAGUGAGAGGCAGCAGAUCAGAAGACCUGGAGACAUGGCUGGAGGACAUUGCAGUCUCAGAGCCACUGCCACUUCCAGCUGUUUCCCUGCUUCCACCUGUGAGAUGUCUGUCCAGGGAGGACCACACACCAUUGAGGCUUCCACCCAGGUCCUGGUUUGGUGCUGUGCAGACUGCGGCUUACAGAUUCCUUCCAGUGUCAGCCAGAUCGGGGACCUGCAACUUGCAUUGUGCUUUCUGGUGGUGGCCCCUCAGGGAAAAACAAAAGUGCUACAGGAGGAGGUAGCAAGGCUUCAAAGCAUCCUGGGCCAUGAGGACUUAACUGAUUCCAUGCUGAAGGAAACCUCUAGGACUGUGGAGAAAGGACUGCCCGAGGUGGUGCUAGAACAGGAAGAGAGCACGGACUCCCAGGAAGGUGGAAGCAGGAAGCUUGUAUCUUCUGGCAGCAAGAAGUAGCCGCCCCCCAUGUGCAAUGGUUUGCCUGAAAAACGGAUAUAGAGUGCUAGCAACAGAGGAGGAAGAGCAUAUCCCAUUGGUGGAAAAGGCCAGGCCAGGAAUCCACGAGGUGGGGAGACCACUGCCACGAAGAGAGAGCGAUGGGUGGUGGUGGUUAGAAACUCCCUUCUGAGGAGGACGAAGGGAUCCAUCUGCUGACCUGACCUGUAGUCCCAGGUGUUCUGCUGCUUGCCUGGAGCCCAGAUCCAAGAUUUCGACCCUCUGACUACAACGCUAUGCUGCUCAUCCAUGUGGGCACCAGUGAUGCUGCCAGGGGUGACCUGGAGUAAAUCAAGAGUGACUACAGGGCUCUGGGUGCAAGGGUGAAAGGGACAGGGGCACAGGUCAUAUCCUCCUCAAUCCUUCCAGUCAAGGGGAAGGGCCCUGGCAGGAGUGGACACAUCCUGCAGAUCAAUGCAUGGCUGCACUGGUGGUGUUGCCAGCAGGGAUCUGGCUUCUUCGACCAUGAGAUGUUGUUCCAAGAAGGAUUGCUUGCAAGAGACAGGAUCCACCUGACGAAGAAAGGGAAGAGAAUCUUUGCAGACAGGCUUGCUAACCUAGUGAGGAAGGCUUUAAAUUAGGUUUUCUGGGGGUUGGAGAGCAAAGCCCUGAAAUAAGCAGGGGACCCGAAGGAAGGAGAAGCAGGGGAGGCGUGAUUCUUCCUGAGAACGUAGGGCAAUCAACUAGUCACCUUGGGUGUCUGUACACGAAUGCACGGAGCCUGGGAAACAAGCAGGAAGAAUUGGAAGUCCUCGCACAAUUGAGGCACUAUGAUAUGAUUGGAACAACAGACUUGGUGGGAUAGCUGCACCACUGGUGUAGAAGUGAAAAGCUCCAUGUUGCCUUGGCUGUUAUGAACCAGCUGGUUCAAAUCUUUGAGGGAACAGUGCAUAGCAGAGGCCAGGCACAUGGUUCUAUUCCUAACUCUGCCACCAGCCUUCUGCAUCUCCUUCACCCCUGCAAAUGGGGAUAAUGCUCUUAACCUCUGUAGAGUGAUUUGAGAUGGCAAGUGAAAUAUAAGAUUCAAGCAUCACUAUUCAUUGUGUGUUUAUCCACAAGAGGGUGGCAGACAACAGGUUUUCAAAAACCUCUCUACCUUAUACUGCUGUGCCUUUCCUUCUGACCAGUGAAGUGUCUUUAUCAGCUAUGCUGGCUCUCCCAGAUUGCUGAUAAACUUUCCAGUAAACUAUAUCCUUUAAGAACUAUUUGCAUCUCAAUCUGGAUGCCCAUAAAAGCAGGAGUUGUGUGUGAAGGACUACUUACAGUGAAGCGAGAUGUCCCCAAAACUUCAAUAUGGAGAACUUUUUUGAAAAAUGUACUAUUCUCAGAGAUGAUCACGGUUCUUUGGGUAAAUGUGAUAUCUAUUAGAUCAACUAAAUAGUUGUGAAAAAUUGUUCUUUGCAAGCUUUCAUGUACAAAUACCCUCCUUCAGAGGGAGGUAAAGUCUUCCCCUGCCUGAAGAAGGUUGUCUGUAUCAGAAAGCUUGCAAAGAACAAUUUUCCAAUUAUUUAGUUGGUCCAAUACAAGAUAUCACACUUACCCAAAGAACCUUGUCUGCCUAUGUCCCUAGACCAACAUGGCUACAGCCAGCACCCCCAAAACUAUUCUCAGUGACUGCUUCAGGCUGGGGUGUAAAAUAGAAAAAAUGUGAGGGCAGGAAGAGGUAACUCAUUUACCUCUAAAAAGUGAGAGUGGUUUGCAUCUAAAAAGUGGCUAAUGUUUGUCCUCUAUCUAGUUUAUAAAACAAAAGCCUUCUGUCCCGUUUGAUGGAAGUGCACUUUACUGUUAUCCCAACUGCCUGUUUAUCAUUCACAGUCCUUAGUUGGAUGCACUUAUACUUUUUACAUGUCCCUUCUUUUUUAAAAUCUUGGCUUCGCAUGUGUCUUCAGACAUCCCAUGCUACUUCUGGGGCUGCUGUUGCUGUCCCUCCCUUGCUGCCAAUACAAUAAGCAAAGACAAAGUGUAAAGACUAUGUCUGUUGAAAUAGGCGGAAGGGAGGAGUGGCAGAGUUGGACCCUUCCUUACCAGUCUGAAAAAUAUAAGGAUGUACCCUUCAUCACCUUGCUCUUGCUGUGUUCCAACAGUCUGUCAGAUCAGCACACAAAACCUCUCCAUGCGAUUGUUACGAAGUAUCCAAAUUUGAAACUUCACAGGUUGCCUGAAGCAUAGGCUUGACAGAUAACCACAAGGAUAGAAUUUAAGGCAAGCACCACUACUAAACCACCUUCUUGUGGCUAUGCUAUGCUUGUUUCACAGUUUCUUAACUUAAAUAAUGCUUAAUAGAUGGCUGGAAAAGAAACUCUGAACUAAAUUGGAAUGCUAAGUUGUUAGUAUUUUCCUUGGCUCCUUGCCCAAGGCAUCACACUGAAAUACCAUUACAUUACUAGCAGUAGCAAGGAAUUCAGGGACCCCAAGCCUUUAAGACCUUGUUUCUUUUCUGUCUGCCCAAGUAUGCUCAAUGGUAGCAAUCCAUUGCCAAGAUGGAUCUCCUCCUUCCCGUCGGCAGUAGUGCUGUGCGUUUUGGCUGCAUAUUUGAAUAUAGGCCUGAGUGCCCAUGCAGGAAAUCCAGCUGUCGGGUUCCAAAGCCUCAUAUAAACAAAGUAGUUGUGUAUUAAAAUGUCACUGUUGUUUUACUUUCUUUAGAAUACUUUAAAUGUCAUUCAUUAAUCUGAAACACAGUAUUUUUUUUAAAGAA